UUGUGGAGAAGGACGCCGAAGGUGGGGCUGAUGACUGGGGUGAAGUCGUAACAAGGUAGCCGUACCGGAAGGUGCGGCUGGAUCACCUCCUAACAGGGAGACAAAAAAUUGAUUGUGAUGUCUAAGUUUUUUAUUCUUAGGCCGCAAUCCUGUCACCUUAAGGUCGAUCGGUACCUCAGAUUUUUGAAUUAGUUUUAUAAUUGAUUCUUUGAUUUCAGUUCCUAAACUUGUCUAGGUCACACCCAACAAAGGUUUCUCCUGGGCCAUUAGCUCAGGUGGUUAGAGCGCACCCCUGAUAAGGGUGAGGUCCCUGGUUCAAGUCCAGGAUGGCCCAUUCGUUGUUGGGGGUAUAGCUCAGUUGGUAGAGCGCCUGCUUUGCAAGCAGGAUGUCAGCGGUUCGAGUCCGCUUACCUCCACUGAAAACUAUCCUGAUAACUAAAUUCUGGAGAAAAAUUUGAAGAUGUGGCUUAGAUUUGUCUAUUCGAAAAGAACCUAGCUUCUUGUCAUCUUUUUAUAGUUGAUAAAAUGCUGGGCUCACUUGGAUUUAUUCCAUGUGUAUUCAGUAGAACCUUGAAAACUGCAUAGAUUAGAAAGAAUAAAGCAUCUCAUGGAUGCAUAAUUCUGCUUUUAUAAUUUAGCUUUAAAACUAAAUUAUAAAAGCAGAAUUAUUGUUUAAUUCUUGAGUAAAAGCCGAGCACAAUUAAUUUUGUGAUUGUAUUUAAGGUCAAGCUACAA
rnacentral:misc_RNA from 1 species